GACAGAGGUGCCAAGCGUUAGGCGGAAUCACUGGGCUUAAAGCGUGUGUAGGCGGGUCGUUAAGUACCUUGUGAAAUCCCACGGCUCAACCGUGGAACUGCUCGGUAUACUGGCGAUCUUGGGCCACUUAGGGGCUAGCGGAACAAACGGUGGAGCGGUGAAAUGCGUAGAUAUUGUUUGGAACGCCAAUGGUGAAAACAGCUAGCUGGGAGUGUGCCGACGCUGAGACACGAAAGCCAGGGGAGCGAACGGG
rnacentral:rRNA from 1 species